GAGGACAUAAGUUUAUUUUGAAUAUAAUUUUGGAGGCAGAUUUUGUCACAUACUGCAAAUUUGCAGACAGUCUUUUAAAAAAAAAAAAAAAAAAAAAAAAGCCUUUUUCCAUAGGAUAAUGCCUGUUUCUGUCAAAGUUUUGCAGGUAAAGAAAAAUUGAGAGCAAGAGAAAGGAGGGGGUACCCAUUCUGCUACCACUGCAACUGAAUAAUACAUGUCCAUUUGACAAGCAACGCUCACAGAUCAUCUUACAGAACAGAAUAUGAUUAAGAUAGGAAUAUUACUUGUAAGGAAGACAGAUCACACCUUCAUUCAGAAGGUGUUCGGUAGGGGCCAGGAGGAAAGAAAGAGUUUAACAUCAGUUGUUCCACCUCUGUCUGAAGAUUUCAAGGAAAUCAAGGAAGCAUGAUGGCACAGAAUGGCUGUUUUCUUCAUACCAUGCACUCUCUCUGACUGCUGUUGUCCUCCCUAUAGCACCUUAUUGUUGGGCAGGAGGAGCAUCACAUUUGAAGCAUCCAAACCAAAUGAGCUUUUUGUUAGUUUGUUUGAAAAUCUUAGGUAAGUGUGGAACAGUAAAAAUUGGAGGCAGAUUUCAAGUGCUAUACUGAGUGAUAUACAUAAUAGU
rnacentral:lncRNA from 1 species